rnacentral:sRNA from 1 species
CCACCUUUUAAGGUUAAGCCCAUACGGACAGGCGGGGCAGCUGCCG